GACGAACGCUGGCGGCGUGCUUAACACAUGCAAGUCGAACGGUAAGGCUCCAGCUUGCUGGGGUACACGAGUGGCGAACGGGUGAGUAACACGUGGGUGACCUGCCCUGCACUUCGGGAUAAGCCUGGGAAACUGGGUCUAAUACCGGAUAGGACCGCACCGUGAGGGUGUGGUGGAAAGUUUUUUCGGUGUGGGAUGGGCCCGCGGCCUAUCAGCUUGUUGGUGGGGUAAUGGCCUACCAAGGCGGCGACGGGUAGCCGGCCUGAGAGGGUGGACGGCCACAUUGGGACUGAGACACUGCCCAGACUCCUACGGGAGGCAGCAGUGGGGAAUAUUGCACAAUGGGCGGAAGCCUGAUGCAGCGACGCCGCGUGGGGGAUGACGGCCUUCGGGUUGUAAACUCCUUUCACCAUCGACGAAGGGUUUCUGACGGUAGAUGGAGAAGAAGCACCGGCUAACUACGUG
rnacentral:rRNA from 1 species